rfam:Loxodonta africana unplaced genomic scaffold scaffold_82, whole genome shotgun sequence.
GCAAUGGUGGUUCAUUGGUAGAAUUCUCGCCUUUCAUGUGGGAGACCUGGGUUCGAUCCCCAGCCAUCGCA